AGCGGCGGACGGGUGAGUAACACGUGGGUAACCUGCCUGUAAGACUGGGAUAACUCCGGGAAACCGGAGCUAAUACCGGAUAGUUCCUUGAACCGCAUGGUUCAAGGAUGAAAGACGGUUUCGGCUGUCACUUACAGAUGGACCCGCGGCGCAUUAGCUAGUUGGUGAGGUAACGGCUCACCAAGGCGACGAUGCGUAGCCGACCUGAGAGGGUGAUCGGCCACACUGGGACUGAGACACGGCCCAGACUCCUACGGGAGGCAGCAGUAGGGAAUCUUCCGCAAUGGACGAAAGUCUGACGGAGCAACGCCGCGUGAGUGAUGAAGGUUUUCGGAUCGUAAAGCUCUGUUGUUAGGGAAGAACAAGUGCAAGAGUAACUGCUUGCACCUUGACGGUACCUAACCAGAAAGCCACGGCUAACUACGUGCCAGCAGCCGCGGUAAUACGUAGGUGGCAAGCGUUGUCCGGAAUUAUUGGGCGUAAAGGGCUCGCAGGCGGUUUCCUUAAGUCCUGAUGUGAAAGCCCCCGGCUCAACCGGGGAGGGUCAUUGGAAACUGGGAAACUUGAGUGCAGAAGAGGAGAGUGGAAUUCCACGUGUAGCGGUGAAAUGCGUAGAGAUGUGGAGGAACACCAGUGGCGGAAGGCGACUCUCUGGUCUGUAACUGACGCUGAGGAGCGAAAGCGUGGGGAGCGAACAGGAUUAGAUACCCUGGUAGUCCACGCCGUAAACGAUGAGUGCUAAGUGUUAGGGGGUUUCCGCCCCUUAGUGCUGCAGCUAACGCAUUAAGCACUCCGCCUGGGGAGUACGGUCGCAAGACUGAAACUCAAAGGAAUUGACGGGGGCCCGCACAAGCGGUGGAGCAUGUGGUUUAAUUCGAAGCAACGCGAAGAACCUUACCAGGUCUUGACAUCCUCUGACAACCCUAGAGAUAGGGCUUUCCCUUCGGGGACAGAGUGACAGGUGGUGCAUGGUUGUCGUCAGCUCGUGUCGUGAGAUGUUGGGUUAAGUCCCGCAACGAGCGCAACCCUUGAUCUUAGUUGCCAGCAUUCAGUUGGGCACUCUAAGGUGACUGCCGGUGACAAACCGGAGGAAGGUGGGGAUGACGUCAAAUCAUCAUGCCCCUUAUGACCUGGGCUACACACGUGCUACAAUGGACAGAACAAAGGGCUGCGAGACCGCAAGGUUUAGCCAAUCCCACAAAUCUGUUCUCAGUUCGGAUCGCAGUCUGCAACUCGACUGCGUGAAGCUGGAAUCGCUAGUAAUCGCGGAUCAGCAUGCCGCGGGUGAAUACGUUCCCGGGCCUUGUACACACCGCCCGUCACACCACGAGAGUUUGCAACACCCGAAGUCGGUGAGGUAACCUUUAUGGAGCCAGCCGCCGAAGGUGGGGC
rnacentral:rRNA from 2 species